rnacentral:miRNA from 1 species
CCGGAACCAGCGCGGCGCCUCU